CACAAGCGGUGGAUGAUGUGGAUUAAUUCGAUGCAACGCGAAAACCUUACCUACCCUUGACAUGUCCGGAAUCCCGAAGAGAUUUGGGAGUGCUCGCAAGAGAACCGGAACACAGGUGCUGCAUGGCUGUCGUCAGCUCGUGUCGUGAGAUGUUGGGUUAAGUCCCGCAACGAGCGCAACCCUUGUCAUUAGUUGCCAUCAUUUGGUUGGGCACUCUAAUGAGACUGCCGGUGACAAACCGGAGGAAGGUGGGGAUGACGUCAAGUCCUCAUGGCCCUUAUGGGUAGGGCUUCACACGUCAUACAAUGGUCGGUACAGAGGGUUGCCAACCCGCGAGGGGGAGCUAAUCCCACAAAGCCGAUCGUAGUCCGGAUCGCAGUCUGCAACUCGACUGCGUGAAGUCGGAAUCGCUAGUAAUCGUGGAUCAGCAUGUCACGGUGAAUACGUUCCCGGGUCUU
rnacentral:rRNA from 1 species